rnacentral:lncRNA from 1 species
GGCCCAGCUACCCAGAGAGUGUGCCUCAAAGCCCCACCUCAAAGCUUUUAUCUCUAUGUGGCGGGAAACACCCACGAAAAUGCCAACGGCGGUAUUUGUAACUUGCCUUCUUCCUUUUGGGAACUGCUUUCUGCAGCUCUCUCUGCGUUAGAGGAAUAGCUACAGCUGGGAGCUGCUCCAGCCACGCAGGAGGAGAGGGCACCCAUUGAGAGGCGGGCACCCCUUCUGUCUCCCUCUGGCUAUGUUAACUGGAAACUAGGAAAGGGGUUCAGAUCAAAGUAACUGCUGUCUUCAGAAAGUUCCAUUCAUUAACUAAGUUAGCGGAAAUUAAAUGGUGUUUGGAGGAAGGUCAUUUCAGAAGGCCCAGGGCCAGAGGCUGAGGUCUAAAACUUCUAAUCUGGACUUCUAUUGAAGUUUGGCAGUAAGUUAAACAGGAAGUUGAAGGCUACCAUAUGUAAAUCCAGUUGUUGCCUGAAAUCAGUCAUUUCAAGGGAGUAUCUUGAAAGGACACAGACUGGGAAACAGGCAUGAGAAAAAAAAAAGGAAGUAGACAGACAUUUGGCUAGUAUGUGCCUGGACCACUUAACACUAAAGAUUAGAAACCUAGGGCUCUGAGUAAGAAUCAUUUGACCAGUAGCUAAAGUGAGUCAUGGCCUGCACAGAACUAGGGCACACAUGUUGAAGUCAGGAUGUUGAGAACAUCAGGCUUACUAAUUUGCAAGGCAGGAGUGCUGCUUCCAGUAGGGAAUGUGAUCAGGAUUUCACGGCUCAUUUUCCCAGCCUUUCCAACAGGUGCAAUCAAGUCAUCCGUGUACACAAGUGACUGCCCUGUUACAUCUGUUAGGAUUAAAUUUCCAUUUGUUCCAUUACUUUAUAUGAAGUGAUUUCUACUGCUGAGUCAGACAGAACACUUCCUCUUAGACCUAGGGACUUUUUUCAACAUUUUUAACAAUGUGUGUGUUUUUCAAAAUGUGUCCCAACCAGGUCUGCAGGUCUUCCUGGGUUGAAUGGACUGUUUACAGAAGGGGAAGAUUCAGGCCCAAGGUCAGGGUUACAGAAUUAUAUAAGGUUUCCUGUUUGGGCAGCUGGUCUAGCAACACCUCUGGUUGGGGCAGACUGGGUCUUGUUGAGAGAUAGCAUGCCCAGGAGGCUAGGGCAGGGAGAGUGCCAGGAGCAGGAAAGAACAUUUUUCUUUUCUUUUUUUUUUUAAGACCGUGUCUUACUCUGUCACCCAGGCUGGGGUGCAGUGGUGCGAUCUCGGCUCACUGCAACCUCCGCCUCCCAGGUUCAAACGAUUCUCCUGCCUCAGCCUCUCGUGUAGCUGGAAUUACAGCCGCCCGCCACCAUGCUUAGCUUAUUUUUAUAUUUUUAAUAGAGACGGGGUUUCACCAUGUGGGCCAGGCUGAUCUUGAACUCCUGACCUUAGAUGAUCUGUCUGCCUCGGCCUCCCAAAGUGCUGGGAUUACAGGCUUGAACCACCAAGCCCGGCCUGACAUUUUUCUUUUAAAUCUUUUAUCAACCAGCUUUCAUUUCUUGUCAGAUGUCACUUUUCAGCAACCUGUUGCUAUAUUCUCUGUUAGGAGAACUUUUUUUUUUUUUUUCUGGCCAGACUGAGAGAAAGGAAUGAAAGGAUGGAAGAAUUACAAGAUCAGGCACUGCUGUCUGUCUGUUCCACGGAUGUAACCACAGCACACGCGUGGCUCACGGUACUAGUGUGAUAAAUGCUUGUUACAUGAAGGCGUGAACAGGGAUGAGAAGAGACUUCCUGGAGAAACAAAAGGACUAACAAUCAGGAAGGGGAGGUGAUCGGGGCAGGAGUAAAGUGGACACCUCAGCAAAGCCAUUCGCUGUGAUCUCUGAUUGUGCAGUGUCAUGUCCUGUCACCAGAGCCCCCUCGUGUUUGAUGUUGGCCAAUGC